AGGUUUGCAAAGUUUCAGUAUAAAUAAUAAAUCAAAUCAUUAUUGCAGAUCCCGAUCGAAUGCACAGAAGUGUCGCACAUAUAUGAGCCAAGAUUUGGCUAAUUAAAUGAUGCAUCAGAAUUGGCAGCAACAGAGCUUAGAAGACAUCUGUCAGAAGCUUACGGCUCUCCACACAGACUACAUGACUGUUGCAGCAAUAAAAGUUGAAAACAAGAACUUGAGUUCAGCUGCCCAACUUCAAAUUUAGAUGAGCCAGCUUUGCCAGCUGUAGUUCAGGACUUUAUCAUCUAGUAUAACAUAAGGCGGAUUCACAAAAAAAUCAUCAAAGAGAAAUUUGGUACUGGAGAAUCAUUUGUUCAGUUUCGUCUCAGGGACUUGUUGAACAUGUUGAAACCUUCAAGGAUGGGGCCAAGUGAAAACUAAGUAAAAAUUGACAUUUGGAAAUCAAUUGAAUUGUGAAUUGUGAUU